AUUGAACGCUGGCGGCAUGCCUUACACAUGCAAGUCGAACGGCAGCACGGGAGCAAUCCUGGUGGCGAGUGGCGAACGGGUGAGUAAUAUAUCGGAACGUGCCCAGUCGUGGGGGAUGACGUAGCGAAAGCUACGCUAAUACCGCAUACGAUCUAUGGAUGACAGCGGGGGAUCGCAAGACCGCGCGCGAUUGGAGCGCCCGAUAUCAGAUUAGGUAGUUGGUGAGGUAAAGGCUCACCAAGCCGACGAUCUCGAGCUGGUCUGAGAGGACUACCAGCCACACUGGGACUGAGACACGGCCCAGACUCCUACGGGAGGCAGCAGUGGGGAAUUUUGGACAAUGGGCGCAAGCCUGAUCCAGCAAUGCCGCGUGCAGGAUGAAGGCCUUCGGGUUGUAAACUGCUUUUGUACGGAACGAAACGGCGAGCUCUAAUACAGUUUGCUAAUGACGGUACCGUAAGAAUAAGCACCGGCUAACUACGUGCCAGCCGCCGCGGUAA
rnacentral:rRNA from 1 species